rnacentral:rRNA from 1 species
CCCGCCGGCGACCGGCGCACGGGUGAGUAACACGUAUGGAACCUGCCCGCAGCAGGGGGAUAAGCGGAAGAAAUUCCGUCUAAUACCGCGUAACACCGCAGAGGGGCAUCCCUCGGCGGUUAAAGAUUCAUCGGCUGCGGAUGGCCAUGCGGCGCAUUAGGUAGUUGGUAGGGUAACGGCCUACCAAGCCGACGAUGCGUAGGGGUUCUGAGAGGAAGGUCCCCCACAUUGGAACUGAGACACGGUCCAAACUCCUACGGAAGGCAGCAG